AAAACGACUCUCGGCAACGGAUAUCUCGGCUCUCGCAUCGAUGAAGAACGUAGCGAAAUGCGAUACUUGGUGUGAAUUGCAGAAUCCCGUGAACCAUCGAGUCUUUGAACGCAAGUUGCGCCCGAAGCCAUCAGGUGGAGGGCACGCCUGCCUGGGCGUCACGC
rnacentral:rRNA from 2 species